rnacentral:rRNA from 1 species
UAGGGAAUAUUGGACAAUGGGGGCAACCCUGAUCCAGCCAUGCCGCGUGAGUGAAGAAGGCCCUCGGGUUGUAAAGCUCUUUUGUCCGGAAAGAAAAGCAUUCGGUGAAUACCCGGAUGUUCUGACGGUACCGGAAGAAUAAGCACCGGCUAACUUCGUGCCAGCAGCCGCGGUAAUACGAAGGGUGCAAGCGUUACUCGGAAUUACUGGGCGUAAAGCGUGCGUAGGUGGUUGUUUAAGUCUGAUGUGAAAGCCCUGGGCUCAACCUGGGAAUGGCAUUGGAAACUGGGCAGCUAGAGUGCGAUAGAGGGUAGUGGAAUUCCCGGGGUAGCAGUGAGAUGCGUAGAGAUCGGGAGGAACAUCUGUGGCGAAGGCGACCGCCUGGACCAGCACUGACACUGAGGCACGAAAGCGUGGGGAGCAAACA